rnacentral:rRNA from 1 species
AGCGAACGCUGGCGGCAGGCCUAACACAUGCAAGUCGAACGAACUCUUCGGAGUAGUGGCGGACGGGUGAGUAACACGUGGGAACGUGCCUUUUGGUUCGGAAUAACUCAGGGAAACUUGUGCUAAUACCGAAUGUGCCCUUCGGGGGAAAGAUUUAUCGCCAUUAGAGCGGCCCGCGUCUGAUUAGCUAGUUGGUGAGGUAACGGCUCACCAAGGCGACGAUCAGUAGCUGGUCUGAGAGGAUGACCAGCCACACUGGGACUGAGACACGGCCCAGACUCCUACGGGAGGCAGCAGUGGGGAAUCUUGCGCAAUGGGCGAAAGCCUGACGCAGCCAUGCCGCGUGAAUGAUGAAGGUCUUAGGAUUGUAAAAUUCUUUCACCGGGGACGAUAAUGACGGUACCCGGAGAAGAAGCCCCGGCUAACUUCGUG